UCACACUCACUAUCCACACUAUCCAAGCCUCUCUAAACCCCGGCCGCUCCAAGCCUCCUCCCUCUCUUCCGAUGACCGCGCAUCUCGGAAAUCUCUCUCCGUCAACGGCCGCACAUCCUAAAAAUCACAAUGCCCUCAUGUGAGGAAGGGAAGGUGAAGGGGAAGGGGAAAGGGAAGGCCUACAACUACUACAACAAAAUGAAGAAAUCUAUGGUUAAGAGAAUAUUAAGGUUUGGAGAUGUUGAUGUACUAAACAUCAUUUUGUGAACAUGUGGAGGUGUUGAUGUAUUUGCAAAUAUCAUUUUGUGGAGAUGUUGUAUUUGCAAAUAUUAUUUUGUGAGCAUGUGGACUUGUUGAUGUAUUAAUAUCAAUUUAUGAACUUGUAGGGAUGUUGAUGUAUUUGUAAGCUUGUGAACAUGUUAAUGUAUUUGUAAACUUUUUGUGAAGAUAUUG